GGGAAAUCGGUGCAAUCCGAUGCGGUCCCGCCACUGUGAUUGGUACAAGCCUCCACAAGAAUCCACUGUCGUAUGAUGGGAAGGAGUGAAGGUACGCCAUAAGCCAGGAGACCUGCCUAUUUAUUAAGGAAGCU
rnacentral:ncRNA from 2 species